UGGGGAAUAUUGGACAAUGGGCGAAAGCCUGAUCCAGCAAUGCCGCGUGAGUGAUGAAGGCCUUAGGGUUGUAAAGCUCUUUUACCCGGGAUGAUAAUGACAGUACCGGGAGAAUAAGCCCCGGCUAACUCCGUGCCAGCAGCCGCGGUAAUACGGAGGGGGCUAGCGUUGUUCGGAAUUACUGGGCGUAAAGCGCACGUAGGCGGCUUUGCAAGUUAGAGGUGAAAGCCCGGGGCUCAACUCCGGAAUUGCCUUUAAAACUGCAUCGCUUGAAUUGUGGAGAGGUAAGUGGAAUUCCGAGUGUAGAGGUGAAAUUCGUAGAUAUCUGGAGGAACACCGGUGGCGAAGGCGGCAUCCUGGACCGGUAUUGACGCUGAUGAGCGAAAGCCAGGGGAGCAAAC
rnacentral:rRNA from 1 species